UCCAGACACUGUAUGAAAAAAAGCAUUGUAAAACUUUUUGUUCUGUUAGCUGAUGCAUGUAGCCUCCACGCUUGCUUGAUGUAUCACGACCCUUUCACGUGGACCCCUUAAAGUUGUAAGCCUUUAAAAAGGCCAAGAAUUUCUUUUUCGGGGAGCUCAGCUCUUAAGACGCGAGUCUGCUGAUGCUCCCGGCCAAAUAAAAACCUCUUCCUUCUUUAAUCCAGUGUCUGAGGAGUUUUGUCUGUGGCUCGUCCUGUUACAUUUCUUGGUUCCCUGACCGGGAAGCGAGGUGAUUAAGGGAUGGUCCAGGCAGCCCCUUAGUUAGCUUAUGUCUGCCCUGUAGAGCAUCCCUGCAGGGGACUCUGGCCAGCUUGAGCAACACGGAUCCUAAGAGCGCUCCCGGGUAGGCAUUUGCCCCGGUUGAACACCUCACCAGAGCAGCGCACAGCAGGCCCCCGCGGAGGAUCAACGCAGUGGCUGAACACCGGGAAGGAACUGGCACUUUAAGUCUGGACAUCUGAAACUUGGUAAGACUGGUCUUUGGAACUUGCCACUCCUCUUGAGUGGAAGUGUGGCCUGAUCACCCAUGGCGUGCCUGUACCGGCACAUUGGUUUUUGUUUUUGACUUGACUUGAAUUGCUUGAUACUUUGGUUUUAGUUUUGAUUUUGACUUGACUUGAAUUGCUUGAUAAACAGACAUGCCUUUAUUGGCACUUUGGUUUUGGUUCUGAUUUUGACUUGGCUUAAAUUGCUUGAUGAACAGGUGUGCCUUUAACAACACUUUGGUUUUAGUUUUCAUUUUGAUUUAGUGUGAAUUAGAUGAGUGAGUGACCUUUUAUCCUUUCCUUCUUGUAGUGUGAAUGUUGUUUUGUCUCAAGAGAAAAAUAGGUCAGACACAAAGUAAGCCUACUCCACUAAGAACUGUGUUAAAAAAAAUUUUCAAAAAGAAAAAUAAAAGGAAAGUCAUCAAAUCAUCAAAACUUAUUCCAUUAAAAUGCAGGUUACAGAACCUUAAGAAGGGUUUUGCAGGAGAUUAUAGAGUUAAGUUAACCCCUAGAGGCUAAGAACUCUGUGUAAAUUAGAAUUGCCCUCUUUUGGUGUUGGAUGGCCCACCGAAGGAACUAUAGACAGGGAACAAUUGGCCAUGUAUUUAAGGUGGUGACAGGGGUUGGAGGACAGCCAGUGUACCUAGAUCAAAUUACUUUAUAUUGACUCAUGGUUAAAUAUAAUAUAGACAAAAUGGGCAUAAAUUUAGCCCUGUUUAACAGCUUAUUGCAAAAAAAGCCAAAAGUAAAAGUAAGAGCAGCUUCGCCAGCAGACAUGGAGUUAAAAAGGGAGUCCCAGAAACAGCAACAGAAGCCAGUUUUGCAGGAGCUGCCAGAGAUAAUAGAAAUUCUUUCUCCAUAUGUCCCAGCCUAUCCCCCUUUACCGAGGCCAACAGCCCCCUCAGAAAUGAGAUUCAGGAGCUAACAUGCCCCAGGUCUCACCUCAAAGGGGAGGAUCGGAGCCUCGAGAGGCCGAGGAAGGAAGUCAAGAUAGUCAAGUGGGCCCUCUCAGAUCUGGUCUUGCUCGAGCUAUGCAAAUGCCUCUCAGGGAGACGCGAGGACCUGUCUAUUAUAAUGACCAGGCCCACAUCUGGGGGGGCAACAGACUUUCAUCUAUCAGCCCUUUUCAACCAUUGAUCUACUAAACUGGAAAUACCCUGAACCCUCCACCUUGCUCCUGGCAGCUAGAGCCCUGUCGAGCAUAACUGUGUAGAGGUGUUGGACUCAAGUUUACUCUAGCAGACCUGACCUCCAGGACCAGCCUUGGGCAUCAGUAAACUGGGAGCUAUACGUGGACGGGAACAGCUUCAUCAACCCACAAGGAGAGAGAUGUGCAGAAUAUGCGGUGGUAACCCUGGACACUGUCGUUAAGCUGAGCUGAUUGCUUUAAUUCAGUCCUUAGAACUCAGUGAAGUUGCAGGUGUUGUGUCUUGGAUCCAUCACAGUCAGCUAACACUGGCAGCUCAGGACAAGUGGACCAGCCAGCAGGAUGCAGAUCACCCAACCUGGCUGAUCCUGAGACGAGACCAAGCUGCUGCUGAGGACGACAGCCCUGCUCUGGUCACUCCGGAGGCUGACCAGUCUACGCACGGCCGAAGCUUGAGGACUCAUCGAGCAAGUAAAUGUAGUUAAAAAUCUUAAGACUAAUAGUUUUCCUGUAAUACUAACUGUUUUCCUAUUGUUCGGUCGCUGUAUUCAACCUUUUUCCCAGGUAAGGACCUCUUUUGUCCUUGCUGGAUACGAAUAUGCUGUACAUUGUUUUGUUGUUGUUAACCCCCAUAACCAUGUUAGAAGAAACACCUAUAUAAGGUGUCCCCACUGUACACAUACUACUUAGGAAACCCAGACCUGUCCAGCCCAGUAACAAUUCUGAGUCUUUCAGUCAUUCUUUAAACAUAUAAACCAGAAGUUACCAGAACCUCCUCCUUUAGCAAAAACAGAAAAAACCUAUUUGCUCAGCUGGCUGAAAACAUUGCUAGCUGCCUAGAUGUUUCUUCAUGUUAUGUUUAUAAAAAGGCUAACAUAAGAGACCAAUGGCCUUGAGAAGCAAAAGAGUUAAUGCCUCAAGAUAACUUUAACUAGCUCUUUCCCCAAACAGAUGCCACAAGUUCAAGCAUCUGGCUCUUAAAACUUCUAUUAUUAAAAAAUACCAUGUUACUCACUAGGAAAAAGCUUUUAAGACACAGUAAAAAGAACUAACCUGCUUAAGGCAUGACAAAGUUGGUACAUGUGCAUAUACAGGUUUAACACAGGUCUGAUCCUAGGUGUUCAUUUAGAACAUAGUUUCCAGCUGUAAGAAAAUUUAAAACCCUCAUUGUAAGUGUAUUACUAGUAAUAGGAACUUGCUUGCUGCUCCCCUGUAUAUUAUAUUUGCUCCUUCAAAUGAUAAAAGGUUUUGUAGCUACCAUGGUUCAGCAGAAAACUUCAACACAAGUAUAUUACAUAAAAUACUAUCACUCUGUCUCACAAAAAGACUCAAAAAGUAAAAAUAAAAGAACUCCCACUGAUUAGUGAAAAUUCUCAAAGGGGGAGAUAAGGAAGGAGACCACUACUACUCCUGCUGCCCUCCUCUCCCCACCUUGCCUAGUUCGCAAGACAGGAGGAGAGAAAAACAAAAAGUUGGAAAAAAAACAAAAGUAAGAUAAACAGCCAGACAACCUUGGCACCACCACCCGGCCUUAGGAGUUAAAAAAAGUAAUAAUGAUAACCUCAACCCCUGACCUAAACUACUUGUGUUGUCUGUAAAUUUCAGACACUGUAUGAAAAAAAGCAUUGUAAAACUUUUUGUUCUGUUAGCUGAUGCAUAUAGCCCCCAGUCAUGUUUCCCAUGCUUGCUUGAUGUACCACGACCCUUACACGUGGACCCCUUAAAGUUGUAAACCUUUAAAAAGGCCAAGAAUUUCUUUUUCGGGGAGCUCGGCUCUUAAGACACGAGUCUGACAAUGCUCCUGGCCGAAUAAAAACCUCUUCCUUCUUUAA